rnacentral:rRNA from 1 species
UUAUUGAAUGACAGGGAAAUUGGUACUGAUGCUGGCUCUUUACUGGGCAUGUGCUCGUUCCAUCUAUUUAUCUUCUCUUGUGCACAUCUUGUGGUCUUGAAUUGAAACCUCGCAUUCGUGCGGUUUGGGAGUCUGAAUAAACUCUGCUCCUGCUUCGUUCAAGAUCAUGUUUUCAUAUACACUAUAAAGUUACAGAAUGUCUUUUAACGAUUGCGCAAGCAGUCAUUAAACCUAUACAACUUUCAGCAACGGAUCUCUUGGCUCUCCUAUCGAUGAAGAACGCAGCGAAAUGCGAUAAGUAAUGUGAAUUGCAGAAUUCAGUGAAUCAUCGAAUCUUUGAACGCACCUUGCGCCCUUUGGUAUUCCGAAGGGCAUGCCUGUUUGAGUGUCAUUAAAUUAUCAACCUUGCUCGCUUUUACUAGCUUGAGUUUGGCUUGGAUGUGAGGGUUUUGCUGGCUUCCUUCAGUGGAUGGUCUGCUCCCUUUAAAUGCAUUAGUGGGAUCUCUUGUGGACCGUCACUUGGUGUGAUAAUUAUCUAUGCCUUGAGACUUUGAAGCCAAASUAAUGGGAACCUGCUCAUAACCGUCUUCGGACAAUCUCUGACAUUUUGACCUCAAAUCAAGGCGAGUAGGACUGAC